rnacentral:lncRNA from 1 species
AGAAUGGACAGUGGACCAAGGUGAUGAGGCUAUUGGUAAAGCAACAUGUGAUUUAUACCAAGACCUUUUCACAAAUCCAGGAGGAGUCAUCAGGGAAGAUCUGUUGUCAUGCAUCUCCUCCAUGAUCAUUCCUGAGGAUAAUGUUAUUCUGUCAGCAGACCCAACCUUACAGGAGCUCAAAGAAGUUGUGUUCUCUAUGAAUCCCACAAGUGUUGCUGGGCUAGAUGGUUCAAUGGCAAAUUUUACCAAUCUUGUUGGGAAAUCAUUAAGGAUGAUCUGCUAAAUAUUGUACUACCUUUCUUUGCGGCUGCAAUAUACCAAAAUACAUGACAAGUGCAUGCUUAAUUCUUCUCCCCAGGGUGGAAUUUCCAAACUCUUUAUCGGAAUUCAGACCUAUCAGCCUCAGCAAUUUCAUAAACAAGAUCAUCUGUCUUUUUUGCUAGGGGUAUGAAUAGGCUACUUUAAACGGAGGGUAAAUCUUCUUUAAAUGAAAUACUCUAGGGGCAAAGUUAGAACUCUGCCCAAAAUAAAUUACAAGGUCUCACAUUGGUAGGGGGUGUGGGCUAUUGUUUUAUUAUAUGGUUUUGAGCAAUUCAUGAGCUCUUUUGGGGUUGGUUAGCUUCAAGGUCCAUUUUCUUUAUGUAGUAUCAUAACCAAACUCAUCUUUGUUCUUGGUUUACCCAAUGUUGGGGCCCAUUAGAGGCGGAUCCAUGAUUUAAAUUCUAUGGAUUUAACUUUUAAGAGUCUUAACAUGGAACCCAUUAUAUUUUUAAAGUUAUGGGUUCAUAUUUAAUAUUUUUGCAAUUUUAAUGAAUUUUUUACAUAUAAAUUUUUACUCUGUGUCAAAAAUCAUGGGUUCGAUAGAACCCAUUGCUAACACACAACAUUUGCCCCUGAUCUCGUAUUGUCACACUCCAAAUGUCCAGUCCUAGGCGUGGGAGGUGCUGGAAUGUCUCACAUUUAAUGAGGGGAUUUCUUUUAUUGUUUUGGGCUAUCCUCAAGUCACUAGCUAGCUUUUGGGUCAAGUUAGGUCCUCACUCCAUUUUCUUUACGUAAUAGACACUUAAAAUCUUGUUAUGUGAAAUUUUAUAAGUAAAUCUGAAAUUAGUGUUCUGUAAUCUGUGCAAAUGAUCGAGGUCCCAAAGUUAUAUGACUAUAAAACCCAGAAGUUAAAAUUCACUGAGGAAGGGCUGGGGGAAUGGCAUGGUUCCGCUUUCUCUGUUCUUUGUCUCAAGGAGUCGAGAUUUAUAAUCAUGUGUAGUUUUUUUUUUUUAAUUUCUCUGGGGCCAAAGGCAUUGGAUUCACGAGUGUCUGAAUGAUAUAGGUGUGGUUUGUUCUAAGCUCUCCUUAAUGAGAACUCUCUCAUGUUGGUCGUUAGCAAACAAUUGACCCUAUGCAUGAGCAAGUUCUUUAACUUGAUAGGCUAAUUAGGUUGUUUGUGUGGAAAUGAUAGCGUUGCAAUGAAUUUUUUCUGAAAUCAGUAGCUAAAGAGCUUUCACGAGAAUUCUUUUCGGAACUCAAUCCUUUUGAAUUGUGAUUUGGAACUCAUAUUAAAGGUUGUUGCAUCAAUUUUAUUGUUAUAGAUUACAGAUAGAUUUACAACAGAAUCUCCUAUUGUUUUAUUAAUAUUAGUUAAAUGUCAUGUUUCCAGUAUCUACCUAAAUACUCUCUUUCUGAUUGAGUUUUCAAGCUUUCUGACUUUUCUUCCGUCCUAUUGUUUGUCACACCUCGUUUUUACCACCCGAGAUGGUAUACAAGGGUGUUUUUUCAAUUAAUGUGACAUUAUUCGAAAUGAGAUUAUUUUAUUUAAUUUUUCAGAGUCGCCACUUGAAAUAGUUUAUUUGGUGUCCUAAGUCACCGAUUUAUUUUAAAAUCCCAACUCGAGGAAAUUUCGACUUUACUUUAUAAGUCUGUGAACCAGAAAUUCUAGAUUAGGAAUUCUGUUAACCUGGGAGAAGGUGUUAGGUAUUCCCGGGUUCCGUGGUUCUAGCACGGUCGCUUAAACUAUUAAUAUUGGCUUAUUAUCUGAUUUACUACAUGUUUUAAAAUUAUUGUGUAUUUUUAACUUUAUAAACCGCUUUUAAUUAUUUAUUAUUACAUAUUGCAAAUUAUGUCACGGGAACCAUACCCACGAUCUACAAUAUGUUUAAAUUAUUAAAGAUUAAAUUGUGGUCGGGUCACAUAAAUGUACCCUGAAUUUUAGUAACUAAGCGUCACAACUACGUUACGGGAACCGUACCCGUAGCUAUGACAAUUAUUUAAUUAACGCGCCUAAAGCAAACUACGAAAGUUCAAGGCAUUUUCUAUACUAAUCUUGUAUUUAUGUGAGGGCCAUGGGUUAUGGGUUUGAAAUGGGGAUGACACACCUCAGUUUAUUUUAAAAGAAUUGUACUCAAUUAAGGCAAACUAAUGGAUGUUCAUAUUUAAAACUAAUUAGGUAUCACAACCACGUCACGAGAACCGUACCCGUAGUUGUAGCGAGCUACAAAUGUUUAUGAGUUAUUUAUUUACUAUGUUUAGGCUUAAGUAUGGAAGGCUAGAAUUCAUGGAUGUUGAUAUGUGGAGAGUCGUUCAUUCUUUCAAAUUAUUAACAAAGUUAUUGUGGAGAAAAACAUUAAAACUACUAGAAUUGCAUUGACAAUUAUUUUUAUAUAAGCCCGUAUGCGCCUACAGUGAUUUCUAAGCAACUUUAUAAUUUCCAAAGAAUUUGGGCUUCCGGAACAAGCCCACCAAUAUUGAGAAUCGGCCGAAACACCAACAUCAACACAUUUCAUAGUCUUGCAAAUCUAUUCAACAAAUAAUUAUAGAGAAUUAACAAUCAAUAACGUGAAUUACAUGAUUUAUUAACUUAAAACUAAUUCUAUCUGUCCAUUACCCUCAAUGGAAGCAGCAGCUAAGGCCAUUUUUAACUCAAAUACAAGCAAUUCCCAUUCAAUUUUUAAAAGCCAGAUGAACAGAUAUAGCAAGUCGAACAAUGAACAUAUGAAACUAAAGAUGAACAACAAUAUUGGAUAAUUCAAAUCUCAUUCACCUAAUUGAAGGAAUUACAGAGAAGUCAUGACAUACCUAGCAGCAAAACGGGAAUAAAUUUCAAGAAAACCGAGCAAAGGUUGGAAUCGUCAAGAUGAAAGCCAACAGAAUUUCGGCAGGAGCAGCAACAACAAUCGCAACACUGAGAUUCUACAACUUAUAUAAAUCCAGGAAGAAAAGAAAUUUGAGCCGUGAAAUAAGUUUUUCUUCAAACCUUCUUUUGAAUUCUAAGUUUCCUUCAGUUUUUCAGUUAUUAGCCAGUGUCAAAUAGAGCCAGAUUAGUGUGGAUUUAUGUGUGUAUAUCGACUGACUUUCAGAAAAGAAAGAGUAAGGUCUGGUUUCGCUCAAAAUGAGGAAGAUGAAGCUAGAAAUGGCGUCUUUGAUUGUGUUCAUGUGUGUGCGUUUUUCAGAGAAAAUGAGAGAGUGUUCGAGCAUUGGCCAUGGCUGGCCGUGGAUGGCCGACCAAUCCCACCGGUAAUCAAAUCUGGUGACUGAAGAGUGGUCGUUUGAGAAAUGGGCUGGCGGAGAUUCUUGGAGAGGAGGUGGGGCGGCUGGAAUCGUGUGCGGCUGAAGAUCUGGGGGUGAAGAGAUGAGGAGUCACCUGAUUUCUUCGGUUUUGGGUGUGGUGAAGAUCAAGAAGGGGUGUUGUUUUGUGUGUCCCCUAAAGACGAUGAAAUUCUGGAAAGGGGAAGGAGGGGGGGCUAUGAUAAAACGACGCUGAUGAUCAAGUAAUUAAGUCUAGCCCUAGAUUUUAGGAAAGUGGGGUUUUAAAGAGGAGAUUUUUUCCUUCACAUACUAUAUAUGAAACUUUAUUACCAAAUAUGUGCAUAGUUUCUAAUUUACCCGCUAUGUUCACAGUUUUUCUACAA